rnacentral:rRNA from 1 species
GACGAACGCUGGCGGCGUGCUUAACACAUGCAAGUCGAACGAAAAAUCAUGGAAAGCUUGCUGAAAUGAUUUUUAGUGGCGGACGGGUGAGUAACGCGUGAGGACUUGUCCAAUACAGGGGGACAACAGAUGGAAACGUCUGCUAAUACCCCAUAAGCCUUAGGGUAAAAGGAGCAAUCCGGUAUUGGAGAGACUCGCGUCCUAUCAGCUAGUAGGUGAGGUAACGGCUCACCUAGGCGAAGACGGGUAGCCGGCCUGAGAGGGCGAACGGCCACACUGGAACUGAGACACGGUCCAGACUCCUACAGGAGGCAGCAGUGGGGAAUAUUGGGCAAUGGGGGCAACCCUGACCCAGCGACGCCGCGUGAGUGAAGAAAUCCCUCGGGAUGUAAAACUCUGUUGUGUGGGAAGAUAAUGACGGUACCACACGAGGAAGCCCCGGCAAACUACGUGCCAGCAGCCGCGGUAA